CUUCCGGCGGUGGCGGGCCUCGGUAACCGCCCUCCCCCGGGUCCUCGCGGACCGCACGGAUCCGGCUGACGGCGAGGGUCAUGGGACGGAGCCGCUUGUAUUUAAAAUGUUCUUUUUUUAUUUGUCGUUUAAAAACAAACUUGGAAGAAGCAAAAUCCAAAACUUGCCCUUUGCCUCUCGCAACAUAAAUAUGUACAGUUCAGAAUGAUCGCUGAUACAAAACAUGCCAAGGACAGGGGCGCUGAGGGUGGAGGGAGAGAGGGCGCUUUAAAAAAGGGAACCAUUUCAUCCGUUGUUACGAAGGACCAACCUUGCUGUACAGGAUACACACAACACAAAAUAAAGUCUUCACGGGAUUCACA
ensembl:lncRNA DDN-AS1 DDN and PRKAG1 antisense RNA 1